AUGGCGCUCGUAUCCGGGUUCUUCCCGCCGCCGUCGUACACCCCGGGUGCGUCCCAGCGCGCCCCCUUCUUCCUGGGCUUCGGCUUCGGCGGCGAGUUCUGCGACCCGUCGUUUGCCGGCAACUACGACUACGAGGAGUACGCCCCAUCGAGCCCUUCGCCGCUCGCGAGCUCCAAGGACUACCACACUCCAUCGAGCCCUGACUACAGUCCGGCGAGCCCCGACUACACUCCAGCGAGCCCGGACUACACUCCCGCGAGCCCCGACUACACGCCGUCGAGCCCCGACUACACUCCGGCGAGCCCCGACUACACUCCGGCGAGCGCUUCGCCGUAG
rnacentral:rRNA from 1 species